ensembl:lncRNA
UCUGAGAGAAUGGGAUAAAUAAGCAACAUGGUGGUAGGUCAACCCUGCCCUCUGAUAGGCCAGGAGUUUUCACCAUAUUGCUUUCCUCUCUAUCCAGGGACCAUAUGUAUUUUUGGGUCGGCAGGUGGCCUAGUGGUUAGUGCAUUGGGCCAGUAACCGAAAGGUUAUAUGACAUGGAUGGUGGAGAUGUCAGGAGGGGUCUGAUAAGAUGACAUGGACAGGGUGGAGUCAGGGGGGGUCUGAUAAGAUGACAUGGUCAGGGUGGAGUCAGGGGGGUCUGAUAGAUGACAUGGACAGGGUGGAGUCAGCGGAGGUCUGAUAAAAUGACAUGGAUGGUGGAUCAGGGGGGGGUCUGAUAAGAUGACAUGGACAGGGUCAGGUCAGGAGGGGUCUGAUAAGAUGACAUGGAUGGUGGAGUCAGGGGGUCUGAUAAGAUGACAUGGACAGGGUGGGGUCAGGG